GAAGAGGAUGGGGCAUGAAAGACCAGUGGAAGAAAUGGGAAUUCCUCAGGCUGAGGGAAUAAAAGGUCAUACUGUUAACUGCUCACUCUGCUGCCUCGAGGCUGGACUUUCAGACAUCCUACUUCUCAGCCCGGGAUUCUCUGUGCUGGACUCCACUUCUCACAUCUACAGGCCCUUUUGGGUGGUUGAUGAAGGACCUGGAAGCUGAUUUCCUAAGAGUGAAUAACUUGGUGCCCUGAAGCUGACCCCUCAUCCACUAUAAACUGUCGAUGCUGGGUUGGUAUAGUGCCUUUGGAAAGCAGUAAAGCAAUUACCAGCAAAAGGCAUGAAGCUCUUCCUCCCCCUUUGACCCAGUAAUCUCUUUCCCUGGGAAAUUAUUCCAAGGAAAUUAUCCAAACGAAGCCAAGUGUUAUCUGCAUACAUGUGUGCAUUGAAGUCUUUCUUUAAAGGUCAAAAACUGGGAACCACAAUAAGGAAGUGGUUUAAUAAACUGGGACAUCAACACAAUGGACAAUCAGGCCUGGAAAUCCACAGCUGUGUGACUGUGAUGGGGAAUGGAAACAUGGAGAAUGCUUCUACUACACAGUGUAUCACCACUACACUCCCACCUAACUAGCUAAUUCAACAAAUCACGCUUGUCAAGGAGAGAGAAGUCUCUCUGUUCAUGUUCAAAAUAAACUCAGCCUCUGACACCACAAAGGAACAGAAGAGAAGCUUAAAUGCAACAAACACAAUAAGCUCAAUAAUUCUUGGCUUUUGAGUUUCCAAGGCCACAGGUCCUGAUGAUGUAUGACAUUUUCUGAGAGUGAUUUUGAUGAUUGGUUAUUGAUGAUUUUCACCUUUCACACUGUACUUGUUAUUAAGCCAUCUAAUUCAUCAUAUUAAAUUUUGUUAAGAUA